rnacentral:rRNA from 1 species
CAGCAGCCGCGGGAAUACGUAGGGUGCAAGCGUUAGUCGGAAUUACUGGGCGUAAAGCGUGCGCAGGCGGUUUGUUAAGACAGAUGUGAAAUCCCCGGGCUCAACCUGGGAACUGCAUUUGUGACUGGCAAGCUAGAGUCUGGCAGAGGGGGGUGGAAUUCCGCGUGUAGCAGUGAAAUGCGUAGAUAUGCGGAGGAACACCGAUGGCGAAGGCAGCCCCCUGGGCCAACACUGACGCUCAUGCACGAAAGCGUGGGGAGCAAACAGGAUUAGAUACCCGCGUAGUCCCUGUCUCUUAUAC